rnacentral:rRNA from 1 species
CGUAAAGAGCUCGUAGGUGGUUUGUCGCGUUGUUCGUGAAAUCUCACGGCUUAACUGUGAGCGUGCGGGCGAUACGGGCAGACUAGAGUACUGCAGGGGAGACUGGAAUUCCUGGUGUAGCGGUGGAAUGCGCAGAUAUCAGGAGGAACACCGGUGGCGAAGGCGGGUCUCUGGGCAGUAACUGACGCUGAGGAGCGAAAGCGUGGGGAGCGAACAGGAUUAGAUACCCUGGUAGUCCACGCCGUAAACGGUGGGUACUAGGUGUGGGUUUCCUUCCUUGGGAUCCGUGCCGUAGCUAACGCAUUAAGUACCCCGCCUGGGGAGUACGGCCGCAAGGCUAAAACUCAAAGGAAUUGACGGGGGCCCGCACAAGCGGCGGAGCAUGUGGAUUAAUUCGAUGCAACGCGAAGAACCUUACCUGGGUUUGACAUGCACAGGACGCGUCUAGAGAUAGGCGUUCCCUUGUGGCCUGUGUGCAGGUGGUGCAUGGCUGUCGUCAGCUCGCGUCGUGAGAUGUUGGGUUAAGUCCCGCAACGAGCGCAACCCUUGUCUCAUGUUGCCAGCGGGUAAUGCCGGGGACUCGUGAGAGACUGCCGGGGUCAACUCGGAGGAAGGUGGGGAUGACGUCAAGUCAUCAUGCCCCUUAUGUCCAGGGUUUCACACAUGCUACAAUGGCCGGUACAAAGGGCUGCGAUGCCGUAAGGUUAAGCGAAUCCUUUUAAAGCCGGUCUCAGUUCGGAUUGGGGUCUGCAACUCGACCCCAUGAAGUCGGAGUCGCUAGUA